ensembl:snoRNA LOC120102652 small nucleolar RNA SNORA48
AACCUGUGGCAAUGGACAAAGGGACACCUUGUUGGUGGCGGUGUUCUAAUAUCAGUCAGAGACAGAGCAGACGGCAGUCCUUUGUUCAUCCUAGCGUGAUGUCUGGCUCGGUGGCCUAAGCUGUUUUAUGCCUAGGAGACCUAA